UACGUAGGGUGCGAGCGUUGUCCGGAAUUAUUGGGCGUAAAGAGCUCGUAGGCGGUUUGUCGCGUCUGCCGUGAAAGUCCGGGGCUCAACUCCGGAUCUGCGGUGGGUACGGGCAGACUAGAGUGAUGUAGGGGAGAACGGAAUUCCUGGUGUAGCGGUGAAAUGCGCAGAUAUCAGGAGGAACACCGGUGGCGAAGGCGGUUCUCUGGGCAUUACCUGACGCUGAGGAGCGAAAGUGUGGGGAGCGAACAGG
rnacentral:rRNA from 1 species